rnacentral:lncRNA from 1 species
GCUAGCCUAUCAUCCAGACCCUGGCUCAGCCGAGACUCGUCACACAUGUCCAGCUGGUGAACCGGCUCUGAUACCAAAUAUAACGACCCAGCCCACUAGCAAUAAUAACUCGUUGGGCCCAACCACAGCCCAAAAUGCUUAAGCCCAGUUAUUAUUACUAGUGUCUAAGUCUCUUAUAAAUCAAAUGACAACCCCAUUCCCAUCCGAUGUGGGAUUAUUGGGGUGUCACAGACUCCCCCCGUUAAGGCCU